UGAACUGGAGCCGUCAAUGGCGAAGGAGGCGCAGCGGCUGGGCACACUCAAGAACAGAAUGGCCUGGCACUUACGGACCUGGGGUGAGACUGCUGGCCCCUGAGAAACCACAGCUGCACCUUUCUAGGUUCCUGGCAGGUAUAUGAAGCAAUGGCAUGGAGAAAGAUCAGCUGAUGUGACUCUGGGACCUAUGGAGUGUGGAGGACCAAGGGCUCAUCUGAAAAGACAUCAAUGUGGUCCUCUACAGAGUACUCAAUGGAAGUUGGAAACUGCCCUACAAAAACUAACUCUUUGAAAAGCAAGUUAGAUUUAUACUAAUGAUAAUGGUACCAAAAUGAGUCGGGAGGGGUUGUAAUAGAACCAGCUGGGUUCAGGCUUGUGCAUUUGUUCCCUAUGUGUUUGUGGUGGGAGAUGAUAUUCAAAUCUGACAUAAUAUCACUACUCAAUUAUAUCAUAUUGCAUGUGUAAAUUGUUACCUACAUCAUUGUGUUAAUCAGGACUACAAAAAAUCAAUUAUGAUCAUGUAUCAACCUAUUGCAAUUUGAACAACUGUAAAUCUUACUGUAUAAUGGAAAAAACCCUACCUUAAAGAUUCUACAUUCUGUUUUUCAAAAAAUACUACAAUGAAGAAAGCAAGUCAUAGAUUUAAUCAUUGGCAUUACUUUUAGUAUUAUUGGAAAUAACACCUGUGGCUACAUCUAAAAUGGCAAAACUGACUUUUGUUCUAGGUGACUUUUGCUUUAACAUUUUUUUCCCAGCCAUUUCCCUCUGCAUCCAGUCAGUCAUGAAGACUAUGCCUGUAGCUUCAGUGGGUACAUUGUUUCUACAAUAGUGGUAAACUUUCAACUAGCCCAGUAGAACAUCCAGGUAGCACAUCCUCCCAGCUAUACCUGCAUCUCCAAGGAGCCCAUUGUCUCUGCAAUUCUGAGAAACUUGUUUUUACUAACCAAAACUUUUGGUUAACUGAAAACCUCUUUGUUAACUGACCUGCCCCUGGACUGGUGUAACUACGGUGAUCUGAUGUAACUAUAGUUAUUGGCUUUGCCAGUGGCAUCAUGUAAUUAUGGUUUUAGGCUUUAUAAACCCCACCUUAUGUCCCCUUGGGUCAAGAUGUUUUGGGGGCAUUAUCCCCCUCUCUGACUGCCAGUCUUUUUGCUAGCUAAUAAAGAACCGUGGUCACCGGC